GGGGCGACGGUGGUGAGGGGCUUAUGCUUGCAGAAGAAGGUGCUGAGCUUGGUAAUCUGCUAGAAAGCGGCCAAAUAGACCGCCUUCACCACAUCCCACCGCCUACGCCAUGGCAGAACCCAACGACGCUGCCAUCUGCCACCAUAGGCGGGGAACACCGCCGCUAGCAUCAUCGAGCUCCAGCAUACGGGGAUGGGUUUCCUCUAGGAAUCGGCGGUAGAGAAGAGCAAACUGCAUGCUACAACACUCGCAUGUCGAGAUGACUUGCGCUAACGUGCUCGGUGACCAUGCCGUUCAGCAUGUUGAGCGGCUCUGUUCAAGAAUCUGUGGCUCUCUGCUAUCCUCUGUGACCUUCAGCUUUGUAAGUCAUACAUUCAGUAACAGUUUCAGCAAACCACCAGCAAGUAGCAGGAGAUGGGUCGCAAGUUUGAGCAUUUUUCUGAUUCGAAUGUUGUAUUUUUUCCAGUUAUACAAAAUGUAUGUGUGUUUCAGGAAAUCAUCAAACAUAAUACUGGAAAAUGUCUUCACUGAAGCUGUUAUACGUCUUGACGAUUUUGAAGUGGGUCUUUCAGUCUUUGAAUGCUAAAACGCUGGUGACUCAUGGAAAAUACUAUGCAUGGUGCGGCUGAUCAAAGGCAGAGACAAAGAGUGUGUCCAUCAGUUGUAUGGAAAGACUAUGACCAGUUGGAGCCCAUACUCCAUUGUAGCGAUGAGAUGGAAUUUUUAGGCAGUCAUCCGAGUGUCACCCCUGCUAAUGUGUAUGUGGCAUCAUGUGAUGAGUUGAUGAAUAUUGCAGGUGUGCUUGCCUGCUUCGACCGUAGUCGCCCUGGAGGCAUCCACAGACUUCCGUGGUUAGUUAUGAUCUCUUUUUUUCAUUCUCCGAAACUUUGGAAUGGUUAAAAAUGUUGUAAGUUAGCUUCAAAAUCUUGAACCAUACCAUCUAUAAUUUGGAGAUGCUUCUUUUCUCCAUGGGGUCUUGAAAAAUGGAAAAAAUAAUAGAACAAUUGUUCACUUCUGGAUUGUAACAUAGCUUUAUCGGAACCCUUCCGCACCUUUAUGACUGAUGUUUGAAGCUUUUGAUGUUUGAGAUGUUUCACUCUACAUGUCUGGAGAAUGAUACCAGUGCACCUGUUGUGGUGUUCCCACACGGACCAUCAGUUGGGUGAUCAUCAUGCCGAG